rnacentral:lncRNA from 1 species
AGCGGCCCCACGGGAUGGGUGAAAACCACAGUCCGCAGUUUGUCACCAACUUCCCUCCCAGAGCCCAUGUGCCCCGGGACAAGGCAGGACGGGCUGCUCCCUGACCUCUGAACAGACUUUGUUCCCCCUCCGGUCCUGCCUGCGGUCUCCCCAGCUUGUCUAGGAGCUGCUCAGGACCAGAGCUUGAGAUCGGAUUCCUCUCUUAGCACGUCUGCUCCCGGCGGGCGGCCAGAGGGAUCCUUGAACCGGAGCCCAGGGCCCUCCUGGCUUCACUUCCCUCCACCUCUGUCCAAGGCCCAUUCCUUGGCCUUGAACCUCCCUUCCUGCCUCUGGGCCUUUGCACCUGCUUUGUCCUCAGUCUGGAAACUUCCCUGCCACCUUCCCACCCUUUGGUCCUACAGCCCUAACCUUGUUCUUAUGCUGAAAAACCUCCUCCUCUCCCCUAAGGCAUCCAAGUUGGGACCCUGCAGCCAGGAAUGUGACCUGAAAUGGCAAAAGAGACUGCAGAGGUGAUGAAGUUCAGGAUGGCGAGAGGGUCACCCUGCCUUCUCCACGCCCCAUCACGGGACCCUCUAGGAAGGAAGCAGAGGGAGGCUUCACAGCAGGAGAGAAGGUGACGGUGAGAGGACGGCAGAGAGGCCCUAGAAGCUGGGUGGGGAGGGCCGGGGCCGUGGAGCCCACCUGCAAUCCCAGCAGCUGGGGAGGCUGAGGCAGGAGGAUCUCGAGUUCAAAGCCAGCCUCAGCAACUUAGUGGGCCCUAAGCAACUCAGCGAGACCCUGUCUCAAAAAUAAAAAUAUUUUAAAAAGGGCUGGGGUGGGGCUCAGUGGCUAAGCGCCCCUGGGUUCAAUCCCUGGUACCAAAAAAAAAGAACAAAACUAAGUCACUGCCCCGGUGUCCCCAGGACCCUUGGUGACGACAACCUGUUCACAGAAACUCCACCAUCUGCUCGCCCCGGGCUCCUGGGGCGGGGACCAGCUGCCGUGCUCCUGCUCCUCACCCAGAACCUGCUCGGCACAAUGCGGGACAGUGGCCCAGUUCAUUCAUUUGUUUGUUAUCAAGUAUUUAUUGAGCACCGGUUGUUUGCCUGGCCCUGUUCCCGGGGCCUGGACACGGGCAGGGACCUUGUCCUUUUGUUGCUCUUUGAAUGUUUGGGUUCCUCCCCGCCUUCCCCCCCCUCCAGGGACUGCACCUGGGGGUGGCUAGGAGGAGGGGCCUGAGGUUGAUGGGGUCAUCAGGGUGGGGCCCUGGCGGAUGGGAUUAGUGCCCUCCCUGUCUGUCCGUCCAUCUGUCCGUCUCCCUAUGCACAUUUGAGCAGCCAGAGAAGAGGCCUCAGAGGGUCACCUCCUUUGCCGGCACCUUGGUGGUGGACUCCUGCUUCCAGGGCUUUGGGGAAAGCACUUCACUUGUUAGGAUGCCAGGCUCUGGUACUCUGUUCUGGCCGCCCAAGUGGACGGGGAGCCCCGCCACCUUUCACCGUCUCUCUCCAUCCUUUCCUUUUCGUGGAACCAGGAUUGAGCCCAGGGCCCUCAGCCACGGAGCCACACCCGCAGCCUUUUUAUAUUUUAUUUACAGAUGGGGUCUCGCUGGGUUGCUGAGGCUGGCCUCCAGCUUGCCAACCUCCUGCCUCAGCCUCCUGAGCCUCGGCCACUGCAGGGCCGUGCCAUCCUGAGCUUGUCAGCCACUUCCCUCCCGGAGCCCAUGUGCCCCGGGGACAAGGCAGGACGGGCUGCUCCCUGACCUCUGAACAGAUCGCGGUCCCUGAGUGUGGGUGUGUGGAGGGAGCCCAGGGCCUCGUGCUUGCUGGUGUCUCACUGAGCCGUGCCCGGCCUCUGUCAGCCCUGCCGCUGACCGCCCACUGCUCCCCUCACACUGGCGGUGGGGGCUUUAAUAGGUCCCCAACCUCUUCGAUGGCCCUCUGUCAAAAAGUGGACAUGAAUUCCCCUGGGGCACGCAGAGCACGGCAGAAGUGACCGCGUGUGACUUGGAGACAGACUCCCGCGGGGAGCUGUGGCGCCCUCCUUUCUCACUGGCCAUUGGCUCUGCCGGUCACCUGUCACAUGGACACUUGGGUGGCUCUGUGGAGAGGUCCAUGUGGCGAGGACCUGGGCGUCCCUGCAGAGCCCUGUGAGCCAGCCAAGAAGGGCCCCCGGAGGCCAGCAGCCCAGGUGCCACCUCGACUGUGACCUCAGGGCAGCUGUGGAGCCGCAGCCCCCCGCCCAGCCACCCCCAGACCCUCAGGAAGUGCUGAGGUUUGGCGUGACGUGUGACACACCAGUGGGUAACUAACAGAGUCACUUGAUGUAGGUUCUGUUCCUGGGUAGGGCAGGCCUCAUCCCUAUGACCACCAGUGUUUAUUGAGCACCUACUGUGCACCAGGAGCACUGAGGGACACACAAGAGGGAAGAGAAGAGACUAAACUCCUGUCUUGUGAGGAAGAGGGACGAUGAACAAGAAAGAAAUCCGGAUGUCACCUUGAGGGGUGUGUGAAACAAAUGCUGUGAAGAACAAAGCCAGACAUCUCUGGGGGUUCGGUGGCCCCUCCAGGGUGAUGUUGGAGCAGAGGCCUGAACGCAGUGUUGCAGGAAUCUGGGGGAACAGCCUUCCAGGCAGAGGGAAUGGCCAGUGCAAAGGCCCUGAGGCAGGAGUUGGGUUUAUUCAAACAAGAGCCAGGAGGCCCGUGUGGGCGCAGUGUCCCAGACCGGACAGGGUGGCAGGCCUUUAGCAUCUGGACUGGAGGUGAUCAGGAAACGAGACCUCACCUCUGGAGCCUCAGCUUCCUCUUCUGAGGAAUGGGCACACGGGCACCUCGUUCUGAGGCUAUUGUGGGGACUCAGGGAGCUUCUGCCUGUGGUUAGCAGCACAGGUCAAGCCCUUUGGAGACCCUGCUGCUGGGCAGCUUUUGCGGGAAGGGAUGCCCUCUCUGUGCUCAACACCUUUUACCGGAACGGGCUGAAGCGGCCCAGACUCCCCCUUGGUUCCCUGGUGCCAGGUCCCUCUUCCUCUUCCUCCUCCUCUCCUCUGCCCCUCCCCUUGCUCAGUCCUGAAUCAACUUUCCCGUGGGGGGAGGAAAACAGGGCAGGCUUCCUUCCUCUCCUGGGCGGGCUCCAGAGAGGGACCGGGCCAUUGUGUGUGCUGGCCUCAAGGUCAUUCCUGUCCCCUUCCCACCAGGCACUUGAGGACAGGCCGGCGGGGAAGCAGGGGAUGGCCGUGGGGGGGCUGAGAGGCCGAGGCCAUAGGGCUGGCCUCUGGCCUCGUGGCUUCCCGGGGAGAAGGAGCUGCCCGGCCUCCCCCGGCCAGGAGGGCCCUGGCAGCAGACCCCGUGGGAGGCCGCCGUCAGUCCCGGCCUGGCUCCUGCCCGACUGAGCCAAACCCUGGCUGGUCCCAGGUCCCUUCUCUCCUUGGAACCUCAUUUUUCUUCUUUCCCCCGACUCAGCCCUUACAUUAAGCUCCUUUCAACUCCCAGGAGCCGAAAAUCACCAGAGAGCCGAGCGGUGGCCCCGCCUGUGAUCCCAGCCACUCGGGAGGCUGAGGCAGGAGGAUCACAAGUUCAAAGCCAGCCUCAGCGACUCAGCGAGCCCCUGUCUCAAAAAAUACAAAGGGCUGGGAGGCGGCUCAGUGGUCACACGCGCCCUGGGUUCAAAAAAAAAAAAGAACAAAACCAGUCGCUGGAGUCGGCCUCCGCCCUCGCAUCCUCUGCCUCAGCCUCCCGGUGGCUGGGUGGACACAGCAGGUCUUCUGGGGAAGACGUCGAGAGCCAGCAGAGCUUCUGCUGCGAUCCCCUCUCCUGAACCUGUGGGGGCUCCCAGCGACACCAGAAGCCGGGACGUGUCACUUCUUAUCACUUGUCAAUUCCUCUGUCCCAGGGCAAAGGGCCCAACUCCCUCAGUUUAGGGCCUCACUAAGUGGCUGAGUCUGGCCUUGAACUCGCGAUCCUCCUGCCUCAGCCUUCCGAGUCGCUGGGGUUAUGGGUGUGCGCCCCUGCUCCCAGUUAUUUUGUGGUGCUUGCUGCUCUUUCCUGGACUGUAAGGAGGGGUUGGACUGCUGGGAGGAUUCAGUAGAAGGAGCCCAGAGAUACCCGAGGGACGGGAGACUGGGUCCUGGGGACAUCUGAGCCUCUUCCCCUGAGGAUAUGGAAUCUGCUUGACCNGCUCUAAGGCCGGCAGGACAGAGCUUGCCAAGGGCCCACCUGGGGCUCACCUGGGGCUCACCUGGGGCUCGCGGGCUCUGCCAUCCUUAAAACCAGAACCCUGAGGUUCCUCAGGGCAGCAACAGGACUGUCCUUCCCAGGCUCCCUUGCAGUAGGGCCAUCGUGUGACUAAGAGCUGACCAAUGAGACAUAGGUCACAGUUGGUCCGUGGGACUUUGGAGAAAGUGCCUUAGAAGGGUGUCUCCCAUAAACGAGCUUGAGGCUGAUUUUCCCCUUUGUGCCCUUCUUUCUAUUUCUUGCCUGGAACACAGUGAGACCUCUGCAGCUCCUGCAGCCAUUUUGGACCAUGAGGUGAUUGAGAGAAUAGAAGCCUCAAGCUAAGGAAGAUGGAGCAGGUAGAACUCUCUGGGGACUCCACUCCAGCUCUGAAUAAUCUCUUUCUGGACAUUUUUUAUGCACGAGAAAAAUGACAUUUUAGAGACAGGGUCUCACUAAGUUAUGCAGGGCCUCUCUAAGUUGCUGAGCCUGGCUUGUGAUCCUCCUGCCUCAGCCUCCGGAGCUGUUGGGAUGCUUUUAUCUUUUUUUUUUUUUAAAACUCUUCCCUCUUUUCUUCCCCUGAUUUAUUUUAUGAACUUUGAUUUAUGAACUUUUCCACUUUCUUCAGUGGAAAACUUGUUUUGUCAUUUCCAAGCUUCCCCCCACCUCAGUACUCUUGGUGCCUUAAAGCAGUUAAGCUAUGAUUUUCUGUCCAAGGGUGGCCUUAGUCAGAUGCCACGGAUUUUGAUAUGUAGCGUUUCGACUCUCUUGUUUCUUGUUGACAUCUUACAUCUUAAUGGUCUCUGUAAUCCAAGUAUCAUACUUUGGAAAUUUUUUUUUCAUGUGGAUAGAAUUUUGGUGGGGGAGGGAGGAGUCUAUAGCUUCUGAAUUGAAAUCUACAUUUGGUUCUUUUCUAGUUUAAAUAACACAGUCACCUGCCACUUGAACUCAGCCUUUGAAGAAAGGGCUCUGAGGCUUUAAAAAACAGGUUGGAGACUGGGCAUGGUGGGGUACGCCUGUGAUCCCAGUGACUCAGGAGGCUGAGGCAGGAGGAUAACAAGUUUGAGGCCAACCUCAGCAACACAGCGAGGGCCUAAGCAACUCAGCGAGAUUCUGUCUGAAAAUAAAAAAGCAGAAAGGGCUUCGAUGGAGCUCAGUGGUAAGAAAC